rnacentral:lncRNA from 1 species
AAGUGCUGGGAUUACAGGCAUGAGCCACCGCGCCCAGCCUCACCACAGUCAUUUUCAUUUAAAAAAAAGGAUGACUUUUUCUCCCCCUGAGAAAUGUAUUUCUCCUAUCUCCAUACCCACUCCUUCCAAAAUGGGAAGCCUCAGAAGUCCUGUUAUACUACAGAACCUAGUCUACAGUUCACUGCAUCAGGUUUUCGGGAGAAGCACAUGAGCAGGCCAACUUACCUUGAAGCUGGUAUUCAAGUUUCCUGGAAUUCUUGGUUUAGGAAACAUCAGCACCAGCUGUCCAGCUGCUCAAGUGAAAAACGUGGAAGUCAUUCCUUCUCCCUUAGCCCCUGAUCCAAUCACUCUGUACCUUCUUAAAUAUCUUUUGAAUCUGACCAUUUUCCUCCACCUCCACUAGUACUAAUUUUGAAUUUAUCUAUUUUUAGUUAUUACACACAUUAGUGCAACACGCUAUAAUAUUUCUGUGCUAUAUCUUCCUCUGCUGUAAUCCAUUCCCCAUGUUAGUCAAAGUAAUUUUUUCAAAAUGUGAUUAUCACUAUGUCACUUCUUUACAUACAAUUCUUCAAUGUUUUCCCAUUGCACUGACUAUACAUUCUAAAAUUAUGUGUGUAUUAGUCCGUUCUCACACUGCUAUAAAUAACUGUCUGAGACUAGGUCAUUAAUAAAGGAAAGAUGUUUAAUUGACUCACAACUCUGCAGGGCUGGGGAGUUCUCAGUAAACUUACAACCAUGGUUGAAGGGGAAGAAUGCAUGUCUUUCUUCACAUGGUGGCGGGAAGGAGAAAUGGAGACUGAAAUGGAGAAAAGCUCCUUAUAAAACCAUCAGAUCUCAUGAGAACUCGCUCACUAUCAUGGGAACAGCACGAGGAAACUGCCCCCAUGAUCUAAUCACCUCCCAUAAGCUCCCUCCACCAACACAUGGGGAUUACAAUUCAGAUUACCAUUCAAGAUAAGAUUUGGGUGGGGACAGAGAGCCAGAUCAUAUCAAUAUGAUUGUUACUUAACUCUCCAACCACAUUUCCUAUUCAUAUUUUUCUAGUUCUCAACUUUCUGGAUCACGGUUUUACCACCUCAGAAAUACUGAUGUUUUGAACCAGAUAAUUCUUUGUUGUGGGGGCUUAUCUUGUGCAUCAUAGAAUAUUUAAGAGUAUCUCUGCCUCUCCUCACCUGUAGAAUCCCCACUAGGUGUGACAAAUGUUCCCAGUCAUUGGCCAAUGUCCCCUGAGGAGCAUAUCAUUUUGAUUGGGAGUCACUGUUCUAGGUACCUACUCAUUCUUUCAUGUAUUCAGUGUUCUUAGACCUCAAAUCUUUUGAAAAUUAUUUCUUCUUCCUGGAGUGUUCUUUUGGUGUUUCUAUUUAUUUUCUCACUAAUUUAAAGCUACUCCCUCUCAAUGUCAUACACCAAGCUAGUUUUACACUCUGAUAUCUUUUACACUUACUUUUAAAAUUAUUUACCCCCACAUCCCAUGCCAUUUUACAACUUUCUUUAAUGUGCUAUGUUCCUGCUCAUCAGGAGGACUUUGCUCACAGUCUUUCAAAUUUCGUGCUAAUGGCCCUACCUUUGUCUCAUUAAAAUCUAAUCAUAAAGCCUGUGUCACUUCCUUCAGGAAAACUUCCUGAGCACCACAGACUAUCAUUCUCCUUUUGUUGCUGUUAAUAUACUUUCAUAAAUUAUGUUUCAUUAAGUCAUAACAACUGUUUGCAUUUUUGUAUUUAUUUGUGUAAUGAGCUGGUUAAUACAGUUCAAAUUCACUAGUCUUUGUCUUCAAUGAAAAUGAGAACCAUGUUUGCUUUGGCUUAACAUUUUGUCUCUAGCACUGACCGAGAGUCUGAUACAAAAUAGACACUUAGUAUAUACUCAUUGAAUGAGAAUGAAUGAGGAACAUUUCCCAUAAUUAUAAUUGGAUAAUGAGUUAUGUAAUUAUGCUUGCAACCCGGAAUGUGAGCUUCCUGAAAUCUAGGACCUUAUCUUUGCCUGGAACGACUAUAUCCACAUUGCCUAAAUCCUCAAUAAUUAUUUUUCUCAAGGGAAUGAGGGCGUCCUAGAAAUAACUCAUUUUUCUUGGAAGUUAAACAUAAACAUUUAUAUCACAAAAUUUUAGAUUUUAAUAGACCUUAGACAUCUACAGGACCUUUAAAAUUUUUUUAGAUGACCAUGCAUAUAAUACUCAUGAUCAUAUACUCAUAUAAUACUGCACAUAAUCUCAGUGCAGUGUAAUACUAGAAUCUGCUCUCCUGACACUUACACAUUACUUUUCUCAUUUGGUUAGUAUCACCGGCCAGGUAUGUUUGAAAACUACAAAAUACUCUAUGAUGUAAGUAUUCACAAUUCUUGCACACCUACAAAUACCCUUAACUGCUAAUGUUCAUUACUUUUCUAUUUAUCUUAUUCCAAUUAUUUUUCUCUCCUACUCAGUCUUUGUGUAGUUUCAAAUGUAAUUUCUUUAAUAAUUCCUGUUGCAAUAGUUGAUGCCACAUUAAUACAUUAGUAGUCACAUAAUUUUAAUUCUAGUACAACUUUUGUUGUCAUUAUCAUGUUCAUGAAACUUAUUUAGACAACGUAAACAUAGACUCAGAUCUAUAAACUCCACAAAAAGUCACAUAUUUUUAAAUAAUUCCACUGAUAUCCAGAGUCCCUUAUUACCUUGCAACAAUUUGAACUAUGUGGAAUAAGCAAUAGUGUUUAUAGUUAAUAAAAUUGUAUUUUAUUAUUGAAAAUUGUUGAGAGAGUAGAUUUUAAUUGUUC